CAGCUCACCCUGAGGCCAGGGCCGAGGCAGAAGACAUGGUCCUUUCUGCUGGGAAAGCAGACGCCUUGCCAGGCAGAGGAGGUGCAGCCUGCGCCUCCCUGGAAGGUGCCGCUCGCAGUCUGGGCGCUGGCACACCCACCGCAGAGACGGCACCGCCAGGGACCCGCCGCCCAGACCAGCCUGCCAGCGAGAACCCGCUCAGAACUGUCCUAAAAGCCUGAAAACGCCGACUUUGGGGAGCACUGUCAUGCAAAUCCAAUGAUGCAUAAAUGUGAACUUCUACACAUAGACUGGGAACUUGCCAUUACGCACACGUGUGAAUGGCCCUGCUGAGUGCAGCGAAAUAUCCCCAUACUCAGCAUUAUCCAUGAGCAUUGUGCCAUGCCUUUUUAUGUAGCAGAUGUAAACCACUUCCGUUAACAUACAGACAUGGGUGUCUCUCGGGGUCGUGGUACAUACGUGACUUCAACAGGUCAGCCAUUAAUACAUCAGGGUGAUGGGCUGUGCUUUUGCUUUAGAGUUUAACCCUGAGGUCUUUCAGAAACAGAACUGAACACAUUGCCGAAGAGCACAAGAUAAACGGGUGGCAAGCUCGAGCCGGCAAUCUGGGUGGAGGAUCUCGCCCCUCCACCCCAGGCUGACUCACUGCACCUCCCUGCAGCCCAAAUACAGAGGGGCAAGAUCCUUGCUGGCGGCUGACACGCGCAGUCGGUUUGGCUGCCUUUCGGAAGUGCUGAAACAGGGACCUUAGGGGGCAUCUGAAAUCUGCAGCACGGGAGUUCCGAAUUAGGUCUUCUGUUCCCCAGAAACGAGGGUGGGCUGCAGCAGAUUUGACUGAUGCUCUCUGUGCAGCCACAAGGACUCCCAAGCAGUGCAAGGGAGAGGAAGCUGAACUGGCUUAAAACAUCUUUGCUUCAGAUUCCAAGAGCUGCAUCACUCAGUUCACGUCCUCCUGUGGGCCAGGCUCAUUCAUUCCUCCAGAAACCCACUGCAGUCAGCGACACGGGACGACAGACGAAGCUCACGAGCCACAUUUUAGUGGCACCUGAAUACUGUUCAUACAAACCAGCUCAAGAUGAAGGUGCAAGUGAAGACACUACAGGUUCAGGUUGAGGGGACAACUAAGACAGCAGAAACAGUCUCAAAUCUGUGGCAGAUGUGUGUGUUUAAUUCCACUCUCACUCUCUUGGCCAGAAGGGAUGUGCUUGGACAACAUAACAGUAACUAACAUUGGUUUUCAAUAUCUGCUUAAAGUGACAUCUAUUCUUGCUAUUUGUAUUUUUUUUGUGGUUUUGUUGUUGUUGUUGUUCAGUGGAUUGAUUUGGGUUUGUUGUUGUUGAUCGGUGGGUUGGUUUGGGUUUGUUGUUGUUGUUCGGUGGGUUGGUUUGGGUUUGUUGUUGUUGUUCGGUGGGUUGGUGUGUUGUUGUUAUUGUUCGGUGGGUUGGUUUGGGUUUGUUGUUGUUGUUCAGUGGGUUGGUUUGGGUUUGUUGUUGUUGUUGUUCGGUGGGUUGGUUUGGGUUUGUUGUUGUUGUUCAGUGGGUUGGUUUGGGUUUGUUGUUGUUCGGUGGGUUGGUUUGGGUUUGUUGUUGUUGUUUGGUGGGUUGGUUUAUGUUGGUUGUUGUUGUUGUUCGGUGGGUUGGUUUGGGUUUGUUGUUAUUGUUGUUCGGUGGGUUGGUUUGGGUUUGUUGUUGUUGUUGUUCGGUGGGUUGGUUUGGGUUUGUUGUUGUUGUUCGGUGGGUUGGUUUGGGUUUGUUGUUAUUGUUGUUCGGUGGGUUGGUUUGGGUUUGUUGUUGUUGUUGUUCGGUGGGUUGGUUUGGGUUUGUUGUUGUUGUUGUUCGGUGGGUUGGUUUGGGUGUGUUGUUGUUGUUGUUUCCCAGUUACAGUCAAUCGCCACCACGUACUCUCCCGGCAUGGCAGGUUAUCUUCAUUGCCAAGAACAGAGUGACAAGUGCUCACAGCUGACCAGCAACGGGUCACCCUGCAAACAGCUCCGAGCUCUGCAAACCGUCAGUCCAAAACGCUUUGAACUUCCUUCACAACACCAAGAAAACUUCCCCAGCCUCUUAAACUAGAAAUAGCAAAUCUGAUUUCAACAACAAGCCUCAACCAAUCUGAGUUCAUUAGCAACUGAAGUUCACCUCAAGUCCAAAUGAAAAUGAGUGAGCAGUCAUCAGGUCAGGUAAAAAUGAAAGCAAAGACAAGAAGCCGUAGCUGUAAUCAUCCGUCCAAAAUUUACUUAUCAGCUACCAAGCAAAUAACUGCUGUGCUAUGCUAGUUGUUCUUCAAAAUAAUUAGAAUACAAUGCUUUAAUAAAAGCGGUUUAUUUACAUUCUGAUAGUCGAGCUGGCACUGAACGUUGGUUGAGGCUGUUCUCAAUUAAGAACUGGUUAUGGUCUCCAAAACCCCUUCUCGGACGCUUCUGAGGUUCUGCACCAGAAAGAGGAGGGGAGAAUCAUAAUAGAGAUGUGAGAAAUGUGCUGGGGGGGAAUCAAAACCCCCUUGGAAUCUGGAUUCUGAACUCAACCAAAGCCAAGCUGCGCUGAAAUGUAAAACUCUGGCAAACUUCCUAAAUUCUAGUAUCAUGAUUUUCAUUUACAGCACUUGUUUUGCAGCACGUAUUGAUUUCACGUUGAGCAAACCACUAUUUUUGAGACAAAUUUUCAUGUGGCAAGGUUCUGACCUGCCUUUCCCAGCGCUGUGUGCCACACUGAGCUUCCCACGUCUGAGCCGCGUGAGCUGAGCCCCAGGUCACGCAGCUGCGCCGUGUGGCCGCGUCUCUGCUGACGGUGUCGUCACCGACGUGCUGGGACAGCGAGGACAAGCGCGUUCCGCGCCGCCCCGGCCUCGUCACCCGCCGCGUGCCCAGCAGCGCCCAGCCCUGCCGCCAGCGUCCUCCCUGCCGCCUGACGGGGAGAAGGCGAGAGCGGGACCGAGCAGCAGCAACUGCUCUUCCUUACUUCAAAAGACAAUACCAUGCCACUAAUAACCCUUCACGCUUAAGUACAGCCAGUUCUAUAAACAGUAAUUAAAGAUGCCUUCUAGUGUGCCUGCAAAGGAAACACCACUUCCCUUCUCCACAAGGACCGCAGCUUCUUCAGUGACUUUUGAUCCAAGGAGCCAAACAUGAGAACAAAAGGUUUAAUUUUCAGGGGACAAGCAGCUACAGGUCACAUUGUAUAACCUAACACUGCCUCCUAACACCACCUAAAAGGUAAAAUCUGAUCUUUUCAGCAGAAAGCCUCACAAUUUUUCCUUUCACAAACUCUCUGCAUACUGCUAACCAGUAAUUUUGAAAGAAGCAGGAUUCGUACAGCAAAGCAUUGUGGAAUUUGUUAAUAAUUUUUACAUAUAUAUAAAAAAACCACCCCAACAACCCUGCUUAACCCCUUGACAUCUCAUUGAGCAAACCUGCCAGGAAUGAAUUAAACCAGCAUUCUGGGACCCACUAUGUGCGUUGUUCAUUUGCCUCUGCUUCUCCUUUUGUGUUUAACCUUUGAGUGGCCCCGGCUUUCCCCACCCGCCAUCUGCCUUCUCACCAAGUCAAACCUUCUCCAAAUCUUCUCCAAGCACGAGCUGGAAGUGCAAACUGGUGACAGUGACGGCGCUGGCCACCCGGAACACCCGGCGCAGCCCGGGUGAGCCCAGACGCCAAGUCACCGCUCUGCCUAAUUACAAACCCGAGGCAGAUUAACCUUUGAUGACUAAAUUAAUCUUCUAAAUAAAAUGAAUAUGCAUCAGCCUGCAAAUUAGGAUUAAAUGCUUAGCAGAAUCUUUAUGUGAUCAAGCAGGUUUUGUGGUGCAGAUGUUAACCAUUAGCACCAAGCAAUAAAAUCAUUCUUUUUUCUUAUAAUAACACCUAACAAUUCUAAAGCCACCUUUCAUCUGAGAAUCUCAAAGGGUUUCAUAAACAUAAUUAAUUAACCCUCUCAGCAUCCGAGACAAGUGAAUAAUAAGAUUCCCUUCCAACAGCUGAAGAAACAGAGGCGCAGCAAUGUCCUGAACCACGUGCGUAACGCGGACACUCAACGCUCUGAAGAGAAAGCAAAGCCCAGGUCUGGACUGGCCUCAGCCCUUCCCUCACAGAGCGCUGGUGCCAGGACUGGCGGGGCGGCUCUGCAGGGCCGAGCGGUGGCCGCGCGCACGUCCCUGUCCCCGAGGCGCCGCCCCGGAGGGGACACCGGCCCUGCCUCCCCGGGCACCUCCGCUGCACCAGGACACCCCUCACUGCAAAAAGCAACAGAACCCGUCUGACUGCUGAGCAACAGAAACAAACACCGCACUUCUAAGCUACCGCUUAACUCCGAAAUACAUCGUUCCAGGGGCGGAGGUGAAUAUCCUCCGGAGAAAAGCUCUUCUUGAUUUUUCCCUUCGGCACUGGAACCACCAGUCCCUUAAAGUGUCUACUGCUCGUGCACACUGGUUGCAACAGUCUAGUCACAAGGAGAGCCAGGUGAUGGCAACCCCACUUCUUUUUGACUGCCGGUGGAAGCGUUGCCCCUGCAACGUGAUUCCUGUGUCUACACAAGUAAAUCACUGGCGUGGAAGGCGACCACCGCUGCCACCAGGUCCUGGCUCCGGCAGAGACGCAGCCAUGGCUCCGGCAGGCUCCCCAGAACACCACACAGCGCCAGGGAACCAGGACACCUCCCACCGCAGUGCACGUCCUGUGCUCCUUCUUCCAGUAGGAUACUCAUUUCCAAGUGGUUUGCAAUGAGGAAUUCAGACAAAUGCACACAUCACGAUUUUCCAGCCUUACCACCCCUGAUUUCUAUGUUAUUAGUUUCAAACAUUAUGCAUUUGAAUAUUAUCAAACUGUAACAUUAAGUUUUAAUUUGAUCUAUUUGAAUAUAAAACAAUGGAAGAGUAACAGUGCACUACGGACAGGCACGUGAGAAUUCCUACUCAUUACAAUCCAAUUUGUUGACAUUUUUGUUGCCAAAUCACAGCAGCUUCUCCUAGUGUGUUUUUCUUUUGAUGUAAACUAAUCUGAUGGUGCAAAAUGUCCAUUACUGCAAAUGUAAUUUUAUUUGCUUCAAAGGGAACUGGAUAACUUCUUACGGUCAGUUUAAAUUUCUUGGCUUCUAAAAGGAAGCUUAAGAUAGAAAUGUACAGUUAUUUUAGAAUAUUGACAUCACAUAUAUCACUUUGGCAUGUAAAUGACUUCCACAGUACUGGAAGGCAGACACAUAAAAGCAGUUGUUGUGUUCAUGCAGCGACUGCUGAAAUCCAUGGAAAAAUUCCAAGGACUUUAAUAAGCUUUGGAUUGGUCACAUUAUUACUAUGAAUGUAAUUCUUGAUACCUCUUGUAACAUCCCAGGCCAUGUGAGAAACUAGGAAAAGCAAUUAACAUUCCUCCAUCGACUUUUGUAUUUACAUUUUAAAUUUACCAUUUAAGACUUUAAUUCUCCAUAAAACUGCUUAAACAUACAUAACUUCAGUGUUAUUUAAAUGUUUUAUGAUCUUCCUGAAAUGAUCAGCUAAUUAAAAUCACUUACCUAAUUUAGUACCUUAAAUUUACCUUCCUUUAUUUGGAAUGAAUUGGAUUUAAUGUGCAGGUUUUGUUCGUUUUCUUUCUCAGAAAAUUUAAUUUAGAAGGAAAAUCAUGAUUAUAUGGUAGGGAAGAGGAUGUCUUCUAGGCUGCAAACUCAGACUAGUGGUAAUCAUUAGCUACCACGUAUGACACGGCGUAUAUAAUUAAGAAAUGAAUUUAUUACAGAAACUUGGAAUUAUCAAUUAAAAAGUAAUCAGUGCGGUCCCACAAGGUCUGAUAUGAUUACCUGCGUUAUCUGGGCUGUCACUUCCAAUGCUGUUUGAGCCUCAAAGACUUCUGAGGGGUGCUCUGUGUGUCACGCCAAAUGAGCGAGACAACCUGAGUGGAAAAACGCAAUGACGUGAGCUGGUGCAGACACGGCUCUGCCGGAGAACGGAGACGCCCACGUCAACCCAAAUGCUACUGGCAAACUGUUCUUCCUUCCUGCGGUACUUCUGAGUGGACUGACGGGACUGUUCAACGUGUGGCUGUACCACGGUCUGUUUGACGGGUUGGGGACAGAACCUCGGGGGCAUUAAAGGACACUCCAGCCCGUUGUAUUUUUUUUCUUACUUAUUCCCAUUGCAGACUUAGACUUUUCCUUCCUCGGAGAUUCCUCACGUUCAAGGCCAGAAGAGGCAGUUAAAUCCCACGGCCCGACCUUGUGCGUGUGCCGGGCAUCACACUGCGCUCACCGAUCCCUCCUCCCUGAACACCUCUCGUUUUAAUUACGAGCCGGUAAAUCAGUGUGAAAAAUAAACAGUUCUUCCCAUCGCCUUUCUCUCCAAAAUCCCAACGGCAGCAAACCGAUCUCUCAGUCUGAAACGGAAUGAAAGAUCUGCCAUCCUCUGAUGAAUCAGAUCUCGUUUCUUGUGCUGAGUGUCUCAUUUCUCACUUGGGCUGGGACAUAACUUGGACUAGAAAUAAAACCAACAGAAAACGUCACCUCAUCUUAUUUUUGACCUGCUUGGGGUAGAUGGAUCUUAAAUGCUUCAUAUUCAGCCGUGGAGGCUGGACAUACCUGUUUAUGAAUUCAGAUACAAACUGAAUGACUUGAGAACACAAGCUGUUCAUCCACAGGCUCAAAAUCAAACCCAUUUUUUUCUAGCACUAUGUAACUUCCUCAAACAGCACACACCAAGAAACCCAGCACAGCCAUCGCAGCGCAGCACCUGCCCGAGCAGGGAAAUUCUGACAGCUACCAGAAACCAGGAAAAAGAAAACAGCCCAAAACUCAUGAUGCUGUGGUUUAGGAUACAAUGUGAGAACUGUCUCUUGUCUCUGAAAUAAAGACUAACAUAGGCACAAGAGCAGACAGCGACUGUCUCCUCUUCUAAAACUGUGCUGACAGCAUCAACCCUUGUUCAACUCGCUAUCAGGGAGUGUCAGUGAGAGUGAAAUACUGCGUACCUUACACAGAAUGCAAAACGGAACAUCCCUGUGUUUCCCAGGAUUCACCCCACGAGCAUUCCGAAACGUGCACAACAAAACCGCGCGGAACUCAGAUGAUUUCAGAUCACGUUACAAAGUCAAAACACAGACCAGAUUCACAGCAAGAUUUGCUAAGGUUCACCAACCUGCUGAGAGAACCUGGGCUCAGUUCCAAGCAAAUCUGGAUUGACUAAUGUUUUCUUUAAAUCAACAUCACCUGAUGUUCUUUGCUACUGAUGUGAAUCUCAGCUUUUUCUUUUCUCUUUGGAAUUUCGGAUCGAUUUAAGCAGACAGCUGAAAACAGCACGUGGAACGCAGAGCCACCUGCGGCACCGACCGAGGAGCAGGCAGCGCCGUUUACUGCAACGCAACAAAACUGCAGACCAGCAUCCCACCAGCCUUCCCAAUGGUUUGCACUAUGAUUAGCUUUCUGGUGAGGGCCGGGGUAGGGCUUUAAUCAAACUGAUCAUGCAUCUAAGAACACAGCGGUAAAGGAGCUCUUUCUACAUCUCAAACACGGGACCAAAUUGAGAUAUGCUCAGCUAUACAAGGAAUAGAACCUCUCUCUAAUGGACCUCCCGAAAUCAAUGGAACUACUUAUGGAGUAAUAUACCAUUACCCAUUGCGAGUAAGAGCUACUGUAAAUAAGCUUUGGAAACUAUACUCCAGCUACAGUUACACUUGGGGCUUUGUAAUAUUCCAGCACUUGCUGAAUGUAAAUAAGGGAAAUAAAGUGGGAGAUAGCGAUACUGUGA